GCUCGCGACGCGCGAGUCGCGACCCUGAGCCGCUGGCCGCCCCGUGUACAACCACUCCAGAAUCAUCCUCUUCCUCUUCCUCAGAUCCACUCCGGUUCCGAUUCACCCCCUUCCUCAGAUCGGCAGCGUGCACAACCACUCCAGAAUCAUCCCCAUUGGAAUUAUCCAUGAGACAGCAGGUGGUUAAUUGCGCUAAGAUUUCCAUAACAACUUCUCGUAACCCCAUCCCUCCCCUCGCUUCCUCAUUACACGUGACACGAGAGUCGAUGCAGCGGUGAGCGUUAGAAGCAACGGUGAGUUUCGGGCUCCACGGGCGAUGUCGUCAUCGUGGAACUCGGUGGGACUGAAGCUGCUCUACCAUGUCAUCGGGUGGAUCGCCUUCUUCGCCUGGUCCUUCAACUUCUACCCGCAGGUCUUGCAAAAAGGUAUGGACUACUGAAUGUUUGCUGCUCAAGGGUAUGCUUGAUUAUGGGCUUUUUGAGCAAAUUCAAUAAUUUGUGGAAAAUCUGCAUUUUAUAUGAUGGUGCAUUCCAUCACAUCAAGAUAAAUAUAAUAUUGUGGAUAAUGUCCAAUAUUAGUGCAAAAUGCGAACUCAUUUUGCAAUUGUUGAUAAUUAGCUUCAGCGUUCGCACCAUCUAUAGUACUUCUGCUUCAAAGGAUUGAGCUAGGAGGUCACAAGAGUAGUGUUGGUAAGGGUGUUUUGUUCCAACUAAGAUCUGUCUUUUCUGUUCUUAGCCUUCUUGCAUGUUUUUUUAUUGGUAUUACAAAGCUUUCAUCAAGGUCAAUGCACACGGAGGUGGCCUGGAGCGGUAUUUCUCCAUGUUAGUUUUAUCCUACUUCAGCCUAAUGGCGCACAGAAUGAACAUCAAUCCAAGCAAAGUCGAUGCAGAAGAAAAUAAAAUUAAUGAGUUAACCUCGCUAAAUUUGUCAGGAUAUUAAAAGAGUACAGUUGAUAGAAGAUUAUGUGUUAUUUCUAAUUUAUCACCACUACGAGCCCCCCUUCGGUUAAAGAUGACUUUACAUAACAACAUUGCUUGAUAAUGUGAGGUUUAAUCCUAAGAUAAUCAAUUAAUUUGAUUUAUGUGAUAGAAAGUGUUUCAUCGUCCCUUAACACAUUAUCUGCUGAAGAUUCAUUCUAUGGUUUCCAAUGGAGUGACUAUUCGAAUUUGAAUAGCAAAUGUUUUCAAUGUUUGAAUGCCACAUUCUCCAUCAAAGGUAUACAAAUAGAACCGUUGUUUUUUUAGUAAGCUGAAGCAAUGUCAAAGAUUAUGUAACUACUUUGAUGAAAAUAAAACAUUGUAUCCACUCAAUACUUCGGGUAACAAAAAGUAUGUUGAACUUUGUAUCUCUGAAACACGAGAUUUUCCAUUUAAGUUUAUUUGUGUGUCCUAUAACAACUUUCAUUAGCAUCUGAUCGUCCAUUCUAUCAGUUUGUCCUCUUGUUUGCUGAGGAGUUCAGGAGAAUGUGGGAGAAAGAGAGUAAGAUUGUUCUUCUUAAGUUGCUGACACGUCUGAGGUGAGCCCCACAUCUUUGUAUAAGCUAAUACAUGCGCUCUCGUAUCAACUUCUUUUCAUGUUUGCUGGAUAAAUCUUCAUUCAUUCAACAACUACUUAUGAACUAAUUCAAACAUAUCAUCUUACAGGAACCCUCAUGGCACCAGACAGACAACUUCAAUGCACCCUUUAUUCCAAAUUGUCUUGCUGAUUCAUGCUAAGCAACUAUGGAAAACUUCUGAUGACCUUAUUUUUUUAUUUCUUAUUCUGUUUGAUGUAUCUAUAUUUUAGAAACCUACAUCAUGAAUGUGGAUGCAAGCAAAUUGCUCAAAUAAAAAAAUAGAAAAUGCAUUAUACAAAUAAAUUUAUAAAGUUUACAAAAUAGAAAAUGUCAAAAUCGACGGGCGCAGCAACGCGCGCCAUCAAUGAUCUAGUUCAUUUUAUUUUCUCCUUUGGCAAGCAUCAUGCGGUGAGGAAAGAUCUAGGCACAUACGUCCAGUUGAAUAUAGAUAGCAUGAGUUAUUAUUGUUGACAUCACCCUCGAGGUGAGUAUGUUGGGAGGCGAAACUAUAAGCCCCUAUCUUUCUAUGUGUCCGGUUGAAAA